UACGGAGGGGGCUAGCGUUGUUCGGAAUUGCUGGGCGUAAAGCGCACGUAGGCGGCUUUGUAAGUUAGAGGUGAAAGCCCAGGGCUUAACCCUGGAAUUGCCUUUAAGACUGCAUCGCUAGAAUUGUGGAGAGGUGAGUGGAAUUCCGAGUGUAGAGGUGAAAUUCGUAGAUAUUCGGAAGAACACCAGUGGCGAAGGCGGCUCUCUGGGACGGUACUGACGCUGAGACGCGAAAGCGUGGGGAGCGAACAGG
rnacentral:rRNA from 1 species